rnacentral:rRNA from 1 species
CACGUAGGGUGCGAGCGUUGUCCGGAAUUAUUGGGCGUAAAGAGCUCGUAGGCGGUGUGUCGCGUCGGCCGUGAAAACCUGCAGCUUAACUGUGGGCUUGCGGUCGAUACGGGCAUCACUGGAGUUCGGCAGGGGAGACUGGAAUUCCUGGUGUAGCGGUGAAAUGCGCAGAUAUCAGGAGGAACACCGGUGGCGAAGGCGGGUCUCUGGGCCGAUACUGACGCUGAAGAGCGAAAGCGUGGGGAGCGAACAGG